rnacentral:rRNA from 1 species
UACGUAAGGUCCGAGCGUUGUCCGGAAUCAUUGGGCGUAAAGGGUACGUAGGCGGAUCAGCAAGUUAGAAGUGGAAUCCUAUAGCUCAACUAUAGUAAGCUUUUAAAACUGCUCAUCUUGAGGUAUGGAAGGGAGAGUGGAAUUCCGAGUGUAGCGGUCAAAUGCGUAGAUAUUAGGAGGAACACCAGUGGCGAAGGCGGCUUUCUGGACGUUUUCUGACGCUGAGGUACGAAAGCGUGGGUAGCAAACAGG